rnacentral:rRNA from 1 species
CCUACGGGAUGCAGCAGUGGGGAAUAUUGCACAAUGGGGGGAACCCUGAUGCAGCAAUGCCGCGUGGGUGAAGAAGCACGCCGGUGCGUAAAGCGCUGUCAGCAGGGAAGAAAAUGACAGUACCUGGACAAGAAGCCCCGGCUAAGUACGUGCCAGCAGCAGCGGUAAUACGUAGGGGGAAAGCGUUAUCCGGAUUUAAUGGGUGUAAAGGGCGCACAGGCGGCGUGGCAAGUCAGAUGUGAAUACGCGGGGCCAAACCCCGGGAGUGCAUUUGAAACAGCCAUGCUGGAGUGCCGGAGAGGUAAGCGGAAUUGCUAGUGUAGCGGUGAAAUGCGUAGAUAUGAGGAGGAACACCAGUGGCGGAGGCGGCUUACUGGACGGUAACUGACGCUGAGGCUCGAAAGCGUGGGGAGCAAACAGGAUUAGAUACCCGAGUAGUC